UACGGAGGGUGCAAGCGUUGUCCGGAUUUAUUGGGUUUAAAGGGUGCGUAGGCGGCCCGUUAAGUCAGUGGUGAAAGCCUCCAGCUCAACUGGAGAACUGCCAUUGAUACUGGCGGGCUUGAGUACAGACGAGGUUGGCGGAAUUGAUUGUGUAGCGGUGAAAUGCAUAGAUACAAUCAAGAACUCCAAUUGCGUAGGCAGCUAACUAGGCUGUAACUGACGCUGAGGCACGAAAGCGUGGGGAGCGAACAGG
rnacentral:rRNA from 1 species